rnacentral:lncRNA from 1 species
AAAAAGGUAAAAGAAAUAAUAGAAGAGAGGGGGCACACUAUCAAUGCAAGAUGUAAAAGAAUUAAAAAAAACUAAAGGAAAUAAAAGAAUGAACAAAAAUAAAUAAAUAGAGUAACAAUGAGAAAAAAAAAUGAUACAAAAGACAAAAAUAGCUGAAAAUUGAGGGUGUAGCUAGGAAAAUGAUGUAGGCCCAAAGAAGGGAGCAUCACAAGGAUGCAUU